rnacentral:lncRNA from 1 species
AAGAGGGGGGGUUUAAUUUUUGGGAUCCAACAGCAGGUGAAAUCCCGCUUAAAACGCGUGUUUCGUUAAAAAAUUAUAAAGCGACACACUUAGAUGACGCACAAUUUAUGAAAGGCACCCUCCGCAUUUCCAUUUUUUUCUUUUCUGACACUAAUUUUAGGGCAUGCACAAAUACGUAUCCUCUAUCCUUCAUAUUUUGCAGAACUAACAUUGUUUUUUAGGGCACGUACAAAUACGUGUCCUCUAUCAACACGUGUCAUUGUUUGUGCGUCGUAAAAGGGUGUUUUUCUAGUAGUGUUUAGACACACAUGUGAGUUGUCUAAGGAAAGGUGUGUGAGUUUGAGAAGCUUAGAUAAAAGGCUUAUCAAGCACNGCUUAGAUAAAAGGCUUAUCAAAGCACAUUGUAUUAGAAAUAUGAACUUUGGAAGUCAAUAAGUAUUGUCUUCUAGAAGUCCAACUGUUUUCUGAAUACGUGUCAAAGCUAGUGGGAGUAUAAAUGUUAUGUUGGAAUGGAUAUAAUCAUCCUGUUAGUGGGAGCAUGAUUAUUAUUAUUAUUUUAAGUUUUGCAAGUUGGCAAUAUUAAUUAUAGAAAAACAAAAGUUUCACUUGCAAAGUUGCAGGGGUUGAAAAGUUAUUUUUGCUAUAAUUAAGGGAGAGAAUGUUGUACUUCACUUCCAAUCUAAAAGCUUAGAUCGAGAAAUUUUAAUUGAAUUUAGUCAAAGAUAUAUUUAUUAUUUAUAUUCUCAAAGUUUGAUUAUGAUUACCGCAUCCCUCUUCAUAGUUUGAAUUUUGAGAACACGACAAAUAGGAACAUUAUGACAAUAUUAUAGCAAGAAGCUAAUAAAGUAUCACGUUUUUCAUUAUGAAUUGUAUCAUAUAUGCUUCGGCUAUUGGAUUGAUUGCAUAUGUUUUAAUAUUUGACCGUUUUAAAAUUUUCCAAAUGCCUAGGGAAUUUAGAGGGGAAAAUGGAAUAGAACCGGAUUUAACUAAAAAAUAAUUAAACUAUCAACGACAAUCUAAGGUUCGCCAAGGAUUAUUCGCUUAUGGACAGUUAGAAGUAUAGUCAUGGAUGGACCAUAAUGACAUUAUUAUCAAUAGAUAAAAUUCUAUUUAGAAUGAGUUGUCAUAUGGAAAAUAUGGAAAUGUUUCCAUAUUAGGAGUUGGAUAUCAAGAAUC